rnacentral:rRNA from 1 species
AACGAACGCUGGCGGCAUGCCUAACACAUGCAAGUCGAACGAAACCUUCGGGCUUAGUGGCGCACGGGGGCGUGACGCGGGGGAACCUGCCCUUAGGUUCGGAAUAACUCCCCGAAAGGGGUGCUAAUACCGGAGAAUGUAUUCGGACCAAAGAGUUAUCGCCUUUGGAGGGGCCUGGGUUGGCUUAGCUGGUUGGUAGGGUAAAAGCCUAUCAAGGCGACGUUGCAUAGCUGGUUUGAGAGGCUGGUCAGCCACACUGGGGCUGAGACACAGCCCAGAAUCCUAGGGGAGGGAGGAGUGGGUGAUAUAGGACAAGGGGCGAUGGCCUGAUACAGCAAUGCCGGGUGAGUGAUGAAGGCCUUAGGGUAGUGAAGUUCUUUUACACGGGGUGAUAAUGACGGUACCGGGAGAAUAAGCUCCGGCUAACUCCGUG